CUGAAUAGGGCGCAUAAGUAACAGGUCGUAGACCCGAAACCAGGUGAUCUACCCAUGUCCAGGAUGAAGGUAAGGUAAUACUUACUGGAGGUCCGAACCCACGCACGUUGAAAAGUGCGGGGAUGAGGUGUGGGUAGCGGAGAAAUUCCAAUCGAACUUGGAGAUAGCUGGUUCUCUCCGAAAUAGCUUUAGGGCUAGCCUCGAGGUAAAGAGUCAUGGAGGUAGAGCACUGUUUGGACUAGGGGCCCUUCUCGGGUUACCGAAUUCAGAUAAACUCCGAAUGCCAUGUACUUAUACUCGGGAGUCAGACUGCGAGUGAUAAGAUCCGUAGUCGAAAGGGAAACAGCCCAGACCACCAGUUAAGGUCCCCAAAUAUAUGUUAAGUGGAAAAGGAUGUGGGGUUGCUUAGACAACCAGGAUGUUGGCUUAGAAGCAGCCACCAUUGAAAGAGUGCGUAAUAGCUCACUGGUCGAGUGACCCCGCGCCGAAAAUGUACCGGGGCUAAACAUAUUACCGAAACUGUGGAUGAACCUCUUUAGAGGUUCGUGGUAGGAGAGCGUUCUAAGGGCGGUGAAGUCAGACCGGAAGGACUGGUGGAGCGCUUAGAAGUGAGAAUGCCGGUAUGAGUAGCGAAAGAAGGGUGAGAAUCCCUUCCACCGAAUAUCUAAGGUUUCCUGAGGAAGGCUCGUCCGCUCAGGGUUAGUCGGGACCUAAGCCGAGGCCGAUAGGCGUAGGCGAUGGACAACAGGUAGAGAUUCCUGUACCAGUGCUAAUUGUUUAACCGAUGGGGUGACACAGAAGGAUAGGGAAUCGCACGAAUGGAAAUGUGCGUCCAAGCAGUGAGUGUGAGAAGUAGGCAAAUCCGCUUCUCGCGAAGCAUGAGCUGUGAUGGGGAAGGAAAUUAAGUACGGAAGUUCCUGAUUUCACGCUGUCAAGAAAAGCCUCUAGGAAGAGUAGUACUGCCCGUACCGCAAACCGACACAGGUAGAUGAGGAGAGAAUCCUAAGGUGAGCGAGAGAACUCUCGUUAAGGAACUCGGCAAAAUGACCCCGUAACUUCGGGAGAAGGGGUGCUCUAUUAGGGUGCAAGCCCGAGAGAGCCGCAGUGAAUAGGCCCAGGCGACUGUUUAGCAAAAACACAGGUCUCUGCAAAACCGUAAGGUGACGUAUAGGGGCUGACGCCUGCCCGGUGCUGGAAGGUUAAGAGGAGUGCUUAGCUUCGGCGAAGGUACGAAUUGAAGCCCCAGUAAACGGCGGCCGUAACUAUAACGGUCCUAAGGUAGCGAAAUUCCUUGUCGGGUAAGUUCCGACCCGCACGAAAGGCGCAACGAUCUGGGCACUGUCUCAACGAGAGACUCGGUGAAAUUAUAGUACCUGUGAAGAUGCAGGUUACCCGCGACAGGACGGAAAGACCCCGUGGAGCUUUACUGCAACCUGAUAUGGAAUGUUUGUACCGCUUGUACAGGAUAGGUAGGAGCCGAAGAGACGUGUGCGCUAGCAUACGAGGAGGCAAUGGUGGGAUACUACCCUGGCUGUAUGACCAUUCUAACCCGCCACGCUUAGCGCGUGGGGAGACAGUGUCAGGUGGGCAGUUUGACUGGGGCGGUCGCCUCCUAAAGAGUAACGGAGGCGCCCAAAGGUUCCCUCAGAAUGGAUGGAAAUCAUUCGCAGAGUGUAAAGGCACAAGGGAGCUUGACUGCGAGACUGACAAGUCGAGCAGGGACGAAAGUCGGGCUUAGUGAUCCGGUGGUUCCGCAUGGAAGGGCCAUCGCUCAACGGAUAAAAGCUACCCCGGGGAUAACAGGCUUAUCUCCCCCAAGAGUCCACAUCGACGGGGAGGUUUGGCACCUCGAUGUCGGCUCGUCGCAUCCUGGGGCUGUAGUCGGUCCCAAGGGUUGGGCUGUUCGCCCAUUAAAGCGGCACGCGAGCUGGGUUCAGAACGUCGUGAGACAGUUCGGUCCCUAUCCGUCGCGGGCGCAGGAAAUUUGAGAGGAGCUGUCCUUAGUACGAGAGGACCGGGAUGGACACACCGCUGGUGUACCAGUUGUUCCGCCAGGAGCAUCGCUGGGUAGCUAUGUGUGGCAGGGAUAAACGCUG
rnacentral:rRNA from 1 species